AAACAUGGUAGAAUCCAUAAGCAUAAGAAAGUAAAAAAUAAAUAAUAGAAAUUCAGGGUGGUAAAACUCGAACACGCUAUAAAAUAAGUCUUACGAGAAAUCACUUAAAAAUAUGAUUCAACAAAUUGUUGGGUAAGAGCUCAAGCUUGAACAAUGAAAACGGUCCCUCCAUGCUGGAAAAUGUACCAAUUUCAUUCACCAAAUAUAGUGAUCAACAACAGAAAAAACCUGCCCAUGUUUCAGGUCUUAUUUUGCCCGAUGUGUCAUACCAU
rnacentral:misc_RNA from 1 species